GCGAUUCCAAUUUCACAACAGAAGUGACCACAGCAAGUUCCGUGUCCGUAAGCGUAUUGUAUACUUUCUCGAACUCCUUUACAAUUUCUUUGAUUAGCUCCACGCGCUUCAUGUCUACUAAAAUGUUGAGGAAAUUCGCCACGUGCGGCUGGAUGCUCGAGGAUGAAACGAUCUCGUCCACGAGUUCGCGUUUCUUCUCUUCGCCGACGAUAGGGCUCACGAAGAAGUUGUACACUGCUUCGUCGUCGAAGAUUUUUUCGAUUUUUUCGAGGUCGGCGGUGGUUUGUUCUAGGGUUCCGUUCGACUUGGCUACGUCGGCGAGUGCGUUCGCGUAACUUCCGGCAGCGGAAGCCACCAUUUUUGCUCCGGAAGCACCGCCGCCGCGGCGGGAGGUGCGAUUAGAGCGGAGCUUGAUGGUGAGUUUCGGGAGCUUGAGGCCACCGGAAAAGGAGAGCUUCGCCGUCGGUCCGCUGAUGAUUUGAGUCGUCGGGGGUGAUCUGGACUGGAAAGCUAUCGGAGUUUGUUGUAGUGCCGCCAUUGAUCUUGUUUAUGCGCUAGGAGAGAGAGAGAGAGAGAGAGAGAGAGAGUGUACUGAUUUUGAGAGUGAAAAAAUGAGAAAAGGGAUUAUGGAGGGGAAUAG
rnacentral:lncRNA from 1 species